CAGACCUCACGAUUCAUUUGAACACAGGUGCACAGUCGAGUUAGCCCGGAUGCGACCAUAACUACCAUAACACUCGUUAAGGACGCUACUUAACGUCUUCACUAAACAAAACAAUCCAUGGUCCCUGAGCAUGCCGUCGUUUCCCCUCAGGCCCAUUAUCAGAUCCCCUCCGUAGGCUCCCGGCAGCUGCAGUUAUUGUGGAAGACUCGACUUUUACAGCCUCAUGAUGUCUGUGACAACACCAGCUUUUAUGAAGCGGGGCGUGGCUCCUAGAUCCCAUUCACCUGCUUAUCUACACACCUGACAGUCAUCACCUAUGAUCAUCUGUCUCUCCUGCCUCAGUAUAAAGCCCCGUCUCAAUCUCCACUCUUCGCCAGUUCAUUGUUGAUCCCUUUUUGCCCUGCCAUGGUCACAUGCCACACAGCCACUACGCUCAACCCCUGUCCUCCUCUCGCCUCACAUGGCUUUUUUUGGAAUGCCCCCCGCCUCGAAACCAAACCUUCCUCCCGGUCUCCUGGUCUGCAUUGUGGGUCCUGCUCAGUGUAAUGUUUGAAUGAAGCAUGACAACUAUGACGUUUUUAUUAAUUUUUGAACAACAUACUAUACCACUGUUUCUCAAAUGGGGGUACGUGUAACCCUGGGGGUACAUGGAGGUAUUGCAAUGAGUAUGCGAGAUUCAAAAAAAAUAAUUAUUUUGAAAAAUACCUCCUAAAAAUAAUUAUGUUAUAAAAAGUUCAGUAAAAAUAUAAAUCUAAGUUCAUAAACUGAAUUUUGUACUCACUAUUAAAUUUCAAAAUCUUUAAAACAAACCAUGAUGCUCCCCAAACUAGGAUUGCUUGAUGCAACCUGUCAAAUGCAUCACCUGUCGAUCAAUCACUUGCAGCCAUCAAGACACAAACAAUUUAGUUGUGAUUGAAGCGCAGCAGCAAUGUUGCUGAAAACACUGAGAGACAAGUGACAAACAAAGCAAAACCAGAACCGACGAAAUACAAAAAAAUAUGCAUAUGCAUAAAUAUGCAUAUAAAAAUAUG